CCUACGGGGGGCAGCAGUGGGGAAUAUUGGACAAUGGGCGGAAGCCUGAUCCAGCAACGCCGCGUGAGGGAUGACGGCCUUCGGGUUGUAAACCUCUUUCAGUAUCGACGAAGCCUUCGGGUGACGGUAGGUACAGAAGAAGCACCGGCCAACUACGUGCCAGCAGCCGCGGUAAUACGUAGGGUGCGAGCGUUGUCCGGAAUUAUUGGGCGUAAAGGGCUCGUAGGCGGUUUGUCGCGUCGGGAGUGAAAACAUCUGGCUUAACUGGGUGCUGGCUUUCGAUACGGGCAGACUUGAGGCAUGCAGGGGAGAAUGGAAUUCCUGGUGUAGCGGUGAAAUGCGCAGAUAUCAGGAGGAACACCGGUGGCGAAGGCGGUUCUCUGGGCAUGUCCUGACGCUGAGGAGCGAAAGUGUGGGGAGCGAACAGGAUUAGAUACCCUU
rnacentral:rRNA from 1 species